rnacentral:rRNA from 1 species
GAGACCUCAGGUCAGGCGGGGCUACCCGCUG